ACAGCAGGCCGCCUUAUCGCUGCCGAAUUUGAAUUCGGGAGAGGAAAGUCCGGACACCACAGGGAAGCAUAGCGGCUAACGGCCGUCGUUAUUACUGCUUAGGCAGGAAUCUCAGGACAAGUGCAACAGAAAGGAUGUACAGGUAAUGCUGUAGUGAAACCAGGUAAACUCUAUGCGGUGAAAUGCCACGUAAACCUGUGCUUGAGGGUACCCGCCCGAUGCAGGAGGGUAGGCAGAUGGAGCGUUUCGGUAACGGAAUGCCUAGAUAAAUGAUAAGGAUUCGUCUUUUUGAUGAAUACAGAACCCGGCUUAUAGGCCUGCUUUUUUU
rnacentral:RNase_P_RNA from 1 species